GGUGGNNCNUGUGGUUUAAUUNGAUGCAACGNGAAGNNCCUUNCCUACUCUUGACAUCUAGAGAAUCCAGCGGAGACGCAGGAGUGCCUUCGGGAACUCUAAGACAGGUGCUGCAUGGCUGUCGUCAGCUCGUGUUGUGAAAUGUUGGGUUAAGUCCCGCAACGAGCGCAACCCUUAUCCUUGUUUGCCAGCGAGUAAUGUCGGGAACUCCAGGGAGACUGCCGGUGAUAAACCGGAGGAAGGUGGGGACGACGUCAAGUCAUCAUGGCCCUUACGAGUAGGGCUACACACGUGCUACAAUGGCGCAUACAGAGGGCAGCAAGCUAGCGAUAGUGAGCGAAUCCCAAAAAGUGCGUCGUAGUCCGGAUUGGAGUCUGCAACUCGACUCCANGAAGUCGGAA
rnacentral:rRNA from 1 species